rnacentral:rRNA from 1 species
GACGAACGCUGGCGGCGUGCUUAACACAUGCAAGUCGAACGAGGAAUCCGUAGCUUGCUUUGGUGGAUUAGUGGCGAACGGGUGAGUAACACGUGAGCAACGUGCCCAUGACUCUGGAAUAACCGCGGGAAACCGUGGCUAAUACCGGAUAGGUGCCGUGGCCGCAUGGUCUUCGGUUGGUAAGUUUUUUCGGUUCUGGAUUGGCUCACGGCCUAUCAGCUUGUUGGUGGGGUAAUGGCGUACCAAGGCGACGACGCGUGGCCGGCCUGAGAGGGUGACCGGCGACACUGGGACUGAGCUACGGCACAGACCCGACCGGGAGGCAGCAGAGGGGAAUAUUGCACAAUGGGCGCAAGCAUGAUGCAGCACAGCCGCGUGGGGGAUGACGUCAUGCGCGUUGUAAACCUCUUUUAGUUGGGAAGAGGCGAAAGUGACGGUACCGGCAGAAAAAGCACCGGCUAACUCCGUG